AGUGAACGCUGGCGGUAGGCCUAACACAUGCAAGUCGAACGGCAGCACAGUAAGAGCUUGCUCUUACGGGUGGCGAGUGGCGGACGGGUGAGGAAUACAUCGGAAUCUACUUUUUCGUGGGGGAUAAUGUAGGGAAACUUACGCUAAUACCGCAUACGACCUACGGGUGAAAGCAGGGGAUCUUCGGACCUUGCGCGAUUGAAUGAGCCGAUGUCGGAUUAGCUAGUUGGCGGGGUAAAGGCCCACCAAGGCGACGAUCCGUAGCUGGUCUGAGAGGAUGAUCAGCCACACUGGAACUGAGACACGGUCCAGACUCCUACGGGAGGCGGCAGUGGGGAAUAUUGGACAAUGGGCGCAAGCCUGAUCCAGCCAUACCGCGUGGGUGAAGAAGGCCUUCGGGUUGUAAAGCCCUUUUGUUGGGAAAGAAAAGCAGCAGGUUAAUACCCCGCUGUUCUGACGGUACCGAAAGAAUAAGCACCGGCUAACUUCGUG
rnacentral:rRNA from 1 species